UGUGCAGAUAAAUGAAAUAAAAGCAAGGAGCCAGGGAGCAGCAGCUCAUAGGCACUUUCUUGAGCUAAAUAUACAGGAAAAUAAGAAGAUUCCCCAGAUUCUGACAAGGACUUCCUGAGGGAGAACCAAGGCACUUGAUGAUGAUGAUGACUGCUGAGAUUGUGCAAGAGGCCUAGCCCUGAGGCUGUCCCAGGAAUCGAGCUACAGGCUUAAGAACAGAAAAAAAAUUUCUGCAUCAGCCGUGAGGUUAAUGAAUGUAAACUGAGGAGUAAAGUUAAUGCUCUAAGACAGAUGAAGUUCACCCAUC
rnacentral:lncRNA from 1 species